rnacentral:rRNA from 1 species
ACGAACGCUGGCGGCGUGCUUAACACAUGCAAGUCGAGCGAUGAAGCACCUUCGGGUGUGAAUUAGCGGCGAACGGGUGAGGAACACGUGAGAAAUCUGCCUUCAACUCUGGGAUAACUCCGGGAAACCGGGGCUAAUACCGGAUAUGAGCCUCUUUCGCAUGAAGGGGGCUGGAAAGUUUUUCGGUAGAAGAUGACCUCGCGGCCUAUCAGCUUGUUGGUGAGGUAAUGGCUCACCAAGGCGACGACGGGUAGCCGGCCUGAGAGGGCGACCGGCCACACUGGGACUGAGACACGGCCCAGACUCCUACGGGAGGCAGCAGUGGGGAAUAUUGGGCAAUGGAGGGAACUCUGACCCAGCGACGCCGCGUGCGGGAUGAAGGCCUUCGGGUUGUAAACCGCUUUCAGCAAGGAAGAAGCGAAAGUGACGGUACUUGCAGAAGAAGCACCGGCUAACUAUGUG